rnacentral:lncRNA from 1 species
AAAGUUUGCUUUAUGGGUGUGUUUGGUUCGCUCCUUUUUCACCCUGGAAUCAGAAUCGGAAUAGACGAAUAUGUUUGUCCGUAUUUAGUAUGCGGGAUUAAAUUUCACUUUUUUAAGCUUAUUUGUUAAUUAAAAUAUAAGUUUAAGAGUAAACAUUACAUUUAUAAAUUUUAAUUUUAAUUUGAACUUAAAUUAAAAAUUAAGACUCAAUCAAUCAUUUCGAAUCUAAUUUAUAAAUUUGAAUUUAAGUUUAAUUUAAAAUCUAAAAUUUUAUUCAAAUUUUAUUUAAAAUUUAAAUUAAAUUUACGGAUUCAAUUGAAAUUUA